rnacentral:rRNA from 1 species
AGAAUCAACGCUGGCGGCGUGCCUAACACAUGCAAGUCGAACGAGAAAGUGGAGCAAUCCAUGAGUAAAGUGGCGCACGGGUGAGUAACACGUGACUAACCUACCCUUGAGUGGGGGAUAACCUAGAGAAAUCUGGGCUAAUACCGCAUAACACUUACGAGUCAAAGCAGCAAUGCGCUUGGAGAGGAGUUCGCGGCCGAUUAGUUAGUUGGCGGGGUAAUGGCCCACCAAGACGAUGAU